AGAAUUGCAAGUUGUGAUGGGCCCUUGAAAAUCAACGUGUGUGCCGAAUCCAGGUGGAUGCUGUGACCUCACAAAAGCUGUGAAGGCUCUCUGCAACUCUUGCUGAAUUUUGGCAUCUUUAGCAGAGCAGGAGCAAUUGGCAUUGAUAAACAGAUUUCCUCUUGUAUGGGUGCCUCGUCAGUGCAGGGAUGUGCAGUGAUCUUUCACCCUCUCAGCUUUCCUCUCGAUACUGCAUUCAUCAUUUCAAGAGCUUUCAGGAAUGUGGGCCGUGCUGACAUUUUGUAAUGUCUAUCAGGAAUUGAGAUUUUAGGGUAACAAC
rnacentral:lncRNA from 1 species